GUCAUUUCCUCAGGUCCUCAUGAAUGUCUUUACUUCUUGUUGCGGUAGUAGGCGGUCAUUUUUACUUCUUGUUGCGGUAGUAGGCGGCCAUUUUUACUUUUUGUUGCGGUAGUAGGCGGCCAUUUUUACUUCUUGUUGCGGUAGUAGGCGGCCAUCUUUACUUCUUGUGGCGGUAGUAGGCGGCCAUUUUUACUUCUUGUUCCGGUAGUAGGCGGCCAUUUUUACUUUUUGUUGUGGUAGUAGGUGGCCAUCUUUACUUCUUGUUGCGGUAGUAGGUGGCCAUCUUUACUUCUUGUUGCGGUAGUAGGUGGCCAUCUUUACUUCUUGUUGCGGUAGUAGGUGGCCAUCUUUACUUCUUGUUGCGGUAGUAGGUGGCCAUCUUUACUUCUUGUUGCGGUAGUAGGUGGCCAUCUUUACUUCUUGUUGCGGUAGUAGGUGGCCAUCUUUACUUCUUGUUGCGGUAGUAGGUGGCCAUCUUUACUUCUUGUUGCGGUAGUAGGUGGCCAUCUUUACUUCUUGUUGCGGUAGUAGGGGGCCAUCUUUACUUCUUGUUGUGGUAGUAGGCGGCCAUUUUUACUUCUUGUUGUGGUAGUAGGCCACCACCACCAUCCUCGCAUUGCUCAAACUGAUCCCCUUGGUUGAAGCGUCAGUUGACUUCUUGCUGCGGUAGUGUACGGCCAUCUUUACUUCUUGCUGCGGUAGUGUGCGGC